rnacentral:rRNA from 1 species
GUGAGGAAUCUUGCGCAAUGGGCGAAAGCCUGACGCAGCCAUGCCGCGUGGAUGAUGAAGGUCUUAGGAUUGUAAAAUCCUUUCACCGGUGAAGAUAAUGACUGUAGCCGGAGAAGAAGCCCCGGCUAACUUCGUGCCAGCAGCCGCGGUAAUACGAAGGGGGCUAGCGUUGCUCGGAUUUACUGGGCGUAAAGGGCGCGUAGGCGGACAUUUAAGUCAGGGGUGAAAUCCCGGGGCUCAACCUCGGAACUGCCUUUGAUACUGGGUGUCUUGAGUAUGAGAGAGGUGUGUGGAACUCCGAGUGUAGAGGUGAAAUUCGUAGAUAUUCGGAAGAACACCAGUGGCGAAGGCGACACACUGGCUCAUUACUGACGCUGAGGCGCGAAAGCGUGGGGAGCAAACAGGAUUAGAAACCCGUGUAGUCC